rnacentral:lncRNA from 1 species
CGAAAGUUUGCACCUUCGGAAACCGCAUUCGGCAUAGCUCUCCGCCCCUGCCCUUUCCUAAGAGGGGCAAAUUAUUUUUGGCAAAUAUUUGAGAUACAAAAUCAUUGCAUCUUCGUUGCAUGAGCCCAAAAUUGCGAAAAAUGCUCAUCACUGUUCUCGUAGGCGUCCUUUUGGCUAUCACAUCGCCAAUAUUGGGGGGAUGAGAACUCGAAAUUUAUGAACCCAUGAGUGUCUCAACAAGAAAAUCUGAACCCUUCCCCUCCCGUACCUUUUGGGAAUGCUAUUUUCAGAGGAAUUAUUGCAACGGAGAGAUGUUGUUUCGCUCCGCUUUGUGCAUGGAUCCGCGUCGUACAUGGAUCCGCGUCGGUGCUUUUUCGCGCCGCUAUACAGGGUGUCCCAAAAAAACGAAAACUAUUGAAAUCACUUAUUGUUAAAUUUGAAUGCCCUACCAAACAGCUGGACGUAAUGAUGCGUAAAAUAUUGACAAGGUGCAUGUAUUAGAAUUUAGUUAAGAAUAUCUCCUGGUAAAGUGCGCG